rnacentral:lncRNA from 1 species
UAGUAGAUAUUAGAUUCUAUAUACACCCAUCAUGUAUGUUACAGAGAGGAGCAGUUUGACUUUCUGAAAAAUAAUAAGGGCACUAUUUAUCUGUCGGAUGGAUCGAACUGUACGAUCAGAGGCAUCGGGAUGGUCAGUUGGAGGACACAUAAUGGUGCAGUGAGGAGAUUGGGGGAGGUUCGAUACAUAUCCAAUUUCAGAUAGAAUCUUAUCUCAC